GAACAAAACCUCCACUGUAGAGCACCCUCCCUGGCCGAGUCCGAACUCCCUGGCCUACUCAAGCGCUUCUUGGACGCGGUCCAUGCACGCGACUUCUAGGGCCACGAUAUUACUGUACUGUACUGCACUGCAGUGUACUGGACUGCACUGGACUGCACUGCACUGUACUGCACUGUACUGUACUGCUCUGUACUGCACUGCUCUGUACUGCACUGCACUGUACUGCUCUGUACUCCUCUGUACUGCACUGCAGUGUACUGGACUGGACUGGACUGCACUGCACUGGACUGCACUGUGCUGUGCUGUGCUGUGCUGUGCUGUGCUGUGCUGUGCUGUGCUGUGCUGUGCUGUGCUGCACUUGACCGCACUGCCCCGUCCUAUCCUAUACUGUACUACCUGCUCAAUGAGCUACAACUGGUCUUUGCGAGCACAUAUGAAGCACUCGAGCAUCUUUACGAAGAGCAUUGGCGGGGGCCGUUCAAGGUUGUUUCUUGACGCAGAGUCCAAGGAAGGAACUGGACAGGUGCAGUGCAGACCGACGGAAUAUCCCUCUGGUUGCACUCUGUUCAGUCGAUACCCGAGUCCCGCAAAGAGGCUCGUUUCAAUCGCUCAUCGUCGAUGAAAUCUAAAAUUUCGCGGCGGGUGUAGGUCCCGGGUUGCAGGACGUCAUAGCUGUCGCCGUGCUCCCAGGUCAGGACGACGAAGCCAAGGGCCUGAACUGAAAGCAGCUGGAGAAGCUAAAUGUUUCCAGAGCUCCGUCUUAUUGAGGGUCGCGCAUGACAGGUGUCAGAAGGCAUACCGACAGAUGGAAUGGACGCGGCAGGACCCAGAUAGACGCCCUGAAUACCGUGCGGAGCAGAGGUGGUCCUUCGAACGCUUCAGCCGAAGAUUGCGUGAGCGUCUGAAUGGCUCGUGCGGAAGGCGUCUCUGGCAGGCGUACCCGAGGCCGCGCUGAGGUCGCCAACUUUUUCGGUUGCACGGAGACAAGAAACGUCCAUUGACCGUCCACUUCCAUAUAUUGGAGAAGGAAAUGACCGACAAGUCGCUUCGUUCGAAGGCAGCGUAGGGUUCUUGAUGUGUUGCGGCGUGCAGUGGCUCCACUCUUGCUCGUCGAAUGCGAGCGCACGACAAGUGCAGGAAUCGACUCUUCAGGAAUCCCAUCGGUGAGUUCGGGACGACAAACACUCCUUGCGGACACGGGUGUGCGCUGAAACCGAUUGAGAAGAAGCGAGUGAAGCGCAGACAGCUGUAUGAGAUGGUGUACGGCAGGGUGACCAAACCUCAGAUACCGGUGCAUUCGAAGGCGAGCGGCUUUGUAUAGUGCGAUUCUACCAGCAAGCUUGUGCGCAGGCGCUUUCUGCAGCGAGACUUGAACGUCCCGCUCAACGUUCGGAAAUGUCACGUGCCUCCGGAGCGCUCAGCGGCUUUGCAUCGAGCGGGUUGUCGGGGAAGAAUCGUUCGCUUCUCAGCGUAGGCAUUGUGCUGGAGCGCUGAGGACUCCCGAUGCAGAACAAAUCAGUAGCCGGGAUCGAGGAUCGUGGAUUUCCGCCUGGAGCAAGACACUGGUAUGGAACGGUGUAUCAGUUCGGAAUAGGCUGGAGUGCCGCUUAUCUAGAUCGGGAAAGACUUUCGUAGGCAACUGAUGAGUGAUUAUGGUGUAGGAUUACUCAAUAAGAUGGGCAAAGUUGAGCGAGCCCUGUCGUCAACGCCGUGCCUGCGUUAGCGACGGCUUUCGCAGCUGUAUGCCAGGCUUCCUGACACCAGCGGAUUCGGCGAACGAAAAUAUUUCGAAGUUCAAAAAAUUCCUGACGACCUCGAUUAUUCUGAGAUGUACAUAGACGAAAUUCGUGGAUUCCUGACAACGCAUCUGGCUCGAGAAUUGUACGCACCACAGACUGGAUCCUAAUCGCAGAUCUGUUCAUUCCUGUGGAAGAGAUAAAUGCGGGUCGUUCGCUCGUCGACCUUGACACCUCUAAAUCGCAACAUCAUCCGUUGUUCAUCGAUGUGGAGGAGCCUCAAAGCAACAGCUCAGCUAGUGUCUCGCAAAAUGCGACUCGUGCGAGCCUGCUGAGCGCAAAUCCUCAGAGAGGCUUUCACGAACUUUUGUUAGAUUGUCGCUCCGAGCAUCGCAUUCGUCGAGCAACUGCUGCAACAAAUGGAAGCAGAAUCUUCCCAGUAAGGUCAUCGAUCAAAAGGAUAUUGUACAGGGCCGAGGCCGCCCAGACGACUUUUCGAAGGCCUGCUCCAGGUGGCGAGGCCGGUUGCCCUCGUUUGCAUGAUAGUUCGUGCCAGAGGAUGAUUCUUCGCACGACCUCCACUCUUGCAGGUGGUACACAUAUCAGGGUAAAUACAGACGGCGGA
rnacentral:misc_RNA from 1 species